rnacentral:rRNA from 1 species
AUUGAACGCUGGCGGCAUGCUUUACACAUGCAAGUCGAACGGUAACAGGCCGCAAGGUGCUGACGAGUGGCGAACGGGUGAGUAAUGCAUCGGAACGUGCCCAGUCGUGGGGGAUAACUGCUCGAAAGAGCAGCUAAUACCGCAUACGAUCUAUGGAUGAAAGCGGGGGACCGUAAGGCCUCGCGCGAUUGGAGCGGCCGAUGUCAGAUUAGGUAGUUGGUGGGGUAAAGGCUCACCAAGCCAACGAUCUGUAGCUGGUCUGAGAGGACGGCCAGCCACACUGGGACUGAGACACGGCCCAGACUCCUACGGGAGGCAGCAGUGGGGAAUUUUGGACAAUGGGGGCAACCCUGAUCCAACAAUGCCGCGUGCAGGAAGAAGGCCUUCGGGUUGUAAACUGCUUUUGUACGGAACGAAACGGUCUGGAUUAAUACCCUGGGCUAAUGACGGUACCGUAAGAAUAAGCACCGGCUAACUACGUGCCAGCCGCCGCGGUAACAC